rnacentral:rRNA from 1 species
GUCGAACGAUGAUCCUCAGCUUGCUGGGGGGAUUAGUGGCGAACGGGUGAGUAACACGUGAGUAACCUGCCCUUGACUCUGGGAUAAGCCUGGGAAACUGGGUCUAAUACUGGAUAUGACCGACUAUCGCAUGGUGGUUGGUGGAAAGCUUUUGUGGUUUUGGAUGGACUCGCGGCCUAUCAGCUUGUUGGUGGGGUAAUGGCCUACCAAGGCGACGACGGGUAGCCGGCCUGAGAGGGUGGACGGCCACACUGGGACUGAGACACGGCCCAGACUCCUACGGGAGGCAGCAGUGGGGAAUAUUGCACAAUGGGCGCAAGCCUGAUGCAGCGACGCCGCGUGAGGGAUGAAGGCCUUCGGGUUGUAAACCUCUUUCAGUAGGGAAGAAGCGAAAGUGACGGUACCUGCAGAAGAAGCGCCGGCUAACUACGUGCCAGCAGCCGCGGUAAUACGUAGGGCGCAAGCGUUAUCCGGAAUUAUUGGGCGUAAAGAGCUCGUAGGCGGUUUGUCGCGUCUGCCGUGAAAGUCCGGGGCUUAACCCCGGAUCUGCGGUGGGUACGGGCAGACUUGAGUGAUGUAGGGGAGACUGGAAUUCCUGGUGUAGCGGUGAAAUGCGCAGAUAUCAGGAGGAACACCGAUGGCGAAGGCAGGUCUCUGGGCAUUAACUGACGCUGAGGAGCGAAAGCAUGGGGAGCGAACAGGAUUAGAUACCCUGGUAGUCCAUGCCGUAAACGUUGGGCACUAGGUGUGGGGGACAUUCCACGUUUUCCGCGCCGUAGCUAACGCAUUAAGUGCCCCGCCUGGGGAGUACGGCCGCAAGGCUAAAACUCAAAGGAAUUGACGGGGGCCCGCACAAGCGGCGGAGCAUGCGGAUUAAUUCGAUGCAACGCGAAGAACCUUACCAAGGCUUGACAUGAACCGGAACGGCGCAGAGAUGUGUCGGCCACUUGUGGCCGGUUUACAGGUGGUGCAUGGUUGUCGUCAGCUCGUGUCGUGAGAUGUUGGGUUAAGUCCCGCAACGAGCGCAACCCUCGUUCCAUGUUGCCAGCGGGUUAUGCCGGGGACUCAUGGGAGACUGCCGGGGUCAACUCGGAGGAAGGUGGGGACGACGUCAAAUCAUCAUGCCCCUU